rnacentral:rRNA from 1 species
GGUAGGGCCGAUGAUUGGGGUGAAGUCGUAACAAGGUAGCCGUAGGGGAACCUGCGGCUGGAUCACCUCCUUU